rnacentral:rRNA from 1 species
AUUGAACGCUGGCGGCAGGCCUAACACAUGCAAGUCGAACGAGUGGCGGACGGGUGAGUAAUGUCUGGGAAACUGCCUGAUGGAGGGGGAUAACUACUGGAACCGGUAGCUAAUCCCGCAUACCAGCAGAUGUUCCCAGAUGGGAUUCGCUUGUUGGUGGGGUAACGGCUCACCAAGGCGACGAUCCCUAGCUGGUCUGAGAGGAUGACCGGCCACACGGGAACUGAGACACGGUCCAGACGCCGACGGGAGGCAGCAGUGGGGAAGCUUGCACAAUGGGCGAAAGCCUGAUGCAGCCAUGCCGCGUGUAUGAAGAAGGCCUUCGGGUUGUAAAGUACUGUCAGCGGGGAGGCGGUACCCGCAGAAGAAGCCCCGGCUAACUCCGUGCCAGCAGCCGCGGUAAUUC